AAUAUUUUCCAAAAAGACAAAGGGAAUUGCCUUGAAACUUGCAAUGCCGCGUUUAGCUCCAGAAAUACGAUGGCCCUGCGCUUGAAGGAGAAGCACACAGGGUCAUGGCAUACUGAGGGUGGAGAUCCCAAUGUGAGAAUACCUCUUUCGAACCAGAUGACAUUUUGGACCAAGAACUAGUUUUGUGACCUCUUCUGCGUUAGGUGGCUCUGCCACUAUAUAUUGUCACAAUCCACAUGAUCUCCUCACAGAGACAGAGCAUUGAAGCAACAAGGAGCCAGAAAGCUACGGAAAUCACGUUCUAUGCUAUUCUCAUUGAUUAAGACGAUUCGUUCUUACGCCCCUGCACAUUGUGGAUGGCAUUGUCAGCGAGACAGCGCUCUAUGAUAUCCAUUUUAGAUGAAAGAAGCCUUUUCGCCCCUCUCUGACAUUUUGUCACGAGGCAACGUGGUGGUGCUGCGCAUACCAUGUACUCUGUACCUGCAAAUUAUGACAAUCUAGCUAGUGUAGUUUAACAGUAUAAUAAAUCAUAUCCCAGGAAAUCCCAAUAUUUUCCCUGUAAUCACUUGAUGUUUAAUCAAGCCAAAAGAACCUUCUUAACAUGAUCACAUGGCAUUUGAUGCUUUGGUCAAUCUGUCAGUGAGAGCAACCUUUUGAGAA